GGAAUUCAGUAUUGAUUUAGGCCUUACCCCUGCAAAUUGGAGGGAGUUUUUAUAGAAUGCGUCUUUGACCAAAUGAAGUUUAAUGUUAAUGGCGUACGGGUGAGUAUGGUAUGAGCAGCUUGCCUUACAGAGGGGGACAUCAUUUGGAAUCGGUCGUUAAUGAGACAUCAGGUGCCGGUAGGACAUCCUUUUGUU
rnacentral:rRNA from 1 species